UCAUGCAGAACACACAUAGACCCCUCUCGUUUUGCUUUGAAAGUCAGAGGUGUUUCCGACUCAUUUCCUAACAACGCAUCAACCGGUGUUCAAAUUUGUUUUGUGCUCUGUAAAAUUCUCUCAUUGUGAAAAACCCUUUUAUUUAUUUUUAUUUUUAAGUUUUAAUUUUCCAGACUCGACCGAAAAAGGAGGACGAACCAGCUGUGUGUGGUGGCAAUCGAAAUCGAAAUAAAAAUAGACAUAGAAAGAGAUGGGUGUUUUCGAAGAGAUUGGAGCCGAUAUUAGAUGACAAUUGUAGUUGUUGAUGUAAUAAGCAAGGGCCUGUGUUUGAGAUAAGGGGUGGAAGUUCUUUUGGAUGAAUUUUGUGUUUUUAGUUUCUAUUAUUAUAUACUUUUGAAUCGAAUGGAGCAUUUUAUGAUUGAUGCCAAUGGGUUGGACGACAGUUCCGAUAUUGAAGUGGACGAGAUAAGGUGUGAGAAUAUCACAGAUAAAGAUGUCAGUGAUGAAGAAAUUGAUGCAGAAGACUUGGAGAGGCGAAUGUGGAAGGACCGUAUCAAACUUAAGAGGAUCAAGGAAAGACAGAAGCUUGCAGCCCAGCAAGCUGCAGAGAAGCAGAAGCCAAAGC